rnacentral:rRNA from 1 species
GACGAACGCUGGCGGCGUGCUUAACACAUGCAAGUCGAGCGGUAAGGCCCUUUCGGGAGUACACGAGCGGCGAACGGGUGAGUAACACGUGGGUGACCUGCCCUCAGCUCUGGGAUAAGCCUGGGAAACCGGGUCUAAUACUGGAUAUGACUCCAUGACGCAUGUUGUGGGGUGGAAAGCCUUGUGCGGCUGAGGAUGGGCCCGCGGCCUAUCAGCUUGUUGGUGGGGUGAUGGCCUACCAAGGCGACGACGGGUAGCCGGCCUGAGAGGCGACCGGCCACACUGGGACUGAGACACGGCCCAGACUCCUACGGGAGGCAGCAGUGGGGAAUCUUGCGCAAUGGGCGAAAGCCUGACGCAGCGACGCCGCGUGAGGGAUGACGGCCU